GCCUUGAUUUCUUUGAUAUUUCAAAGGAACUUCACAUCAUGUGGACCAAAUAGUAGAUAACCUCCCGUAUCUAUGGCAUUUAAAACUGAAAAUAUAUUUUUCCUCAUCCCUGGAACAUGAAAGAUAUUGUUAAGAACGAUUGAGUCUGCUUGCUUCUCGUUGAUGACAACUGUGCCUUCGUUAUCCACGUGAUGAACCGUAUUGUCUACUGUUACAAUGACAUCAUGACCAUUGUAUUCUCGAAAGUUGAAAAAUAUAGAUCUAUCUGUAGUGACAUGAUGCCCAUGUUCUGAAUUCACGAUCCAGUCUCUUUCAAAAUUGGUGGAAGUCAUGGCAUCCAUUACUCGACUCUUAGCUACGAAACACUUCCCCAAUCUUCUUUUUCUUCUUCAAUAUCUUUCUUAGUUUAAGCCAUAUUACUCUCUUUGGCUUGACAAUAUCUUUUUAUGUGUUCCAUUUUUCUACACCAAUGACAUUUGAGAGUCUUAUAGUUAUUUGUAGACUCUUCCCUUCUUUCUUGGUGAGCUUGAACCACUUGUGGAUCGAGAAUCCAACAUAUCUUUUGUUGUUUUUUCUUUAAAGUUCCUCUUACCAGCUACAAGAGCAUUUUUUUCUCCUUCUUUCAUUGAUACCGCAACCAUUUGUUUGGUUAGUAACUCCUAUAACGACAAUAAAUUUUCAAACUCCUCCAAGGAUGGUUGUUAAGCCCAUCCAUGAAUCGAUGUCACAAAGGGAAUAUAUUUUGGCUUCAAACCACGAAAAAUAUUUCUUCUUAUUUGUGCUUAAAAUAUAGUCUCAUUUGAGUUUAAUAAAGAGGUCUCAAAAUAUAAUUCUUGAUCUUUAAGAAAUACUCUGCAAUAGAAAGAUUACCUUGCUUGGCUUUAGCCAAUUCAUUCUCCAAUAUCUGUAGCUGAGCUUCAUUCUUCUUAUCAAAUAAAUGAUCAAGGGUCCUCCAAAUAUCAUGAGCUGAUUUACACCUUAUAAUAUGGUCAAAUAAAUUGGAGGAGAUGGUCCUCUUCAGAAUGAACUCCGCCUUCUCAUUAAUCUAUUUUCACUUCUUGUAUGCACUACUAUUCUCCGAUCCAUCAUUUAGAGUACUUGUGUUACUCCCAUUAAAAACAUCUCAAAAAUCCUUGCCCACGAGGUAUGAUUCCAUAUAUGUCUUCCAUACCUUGUAAUUGGACUGAUUCAAUAGCUUAAUUCCUAUUCCAUUAACACGACCGCUUAAAUUCAUUUAGACAAACUAGUUGAAUCGAUCACAAACCCAAUCUUGAAAUAAACAUAAGCUAAUCUAUGACUUCGACUCUGAUGCCAUGUAGAGAAUAGCAGAAGAAAAGUGUAACUGGGGAGACCUUCUGCUAGACGAAGAUCGUUAACUAAGAUCGAAGAUUCAACUAAAGAAGGGGAACUUAUGAAAGUAGAAGGAAGAUAUUGAAUAAGAGAGCUUGGGUAUAGAAGAAUACUUUAUAUGCUUU
rnacentral:lncRNA from 1 species